UGACCUACGGGGCGCAGCAGUGGGGGAUAUUGCACAAUGGGGGAAACCCUGAUGCAGCGACGCCGCGUGGGCGAAGAGGUAUUUCGGUAUGUAAAGCCCUAUCAGCAGGGAAGAAGAAACGACGGUACCUGAAGAAGAAGCCCCGGCUAACUACGUGCCAGCAGCCGCGGUAAUACGUAGGGGGCAAGCGUUAUCCGGAUUUACUGGGUGUAAAGGGGGCGCAGACGGCGAUGCAAGCCAGGAGUGAAAGCCCGGGGCCCAACCCCGGGACUGCUCUUGGAACUGCGUGGCUGGAGGGCAGGAGG
rnacentral:rRNA from 1 species